rnacentral:rRNA from 1 species
UACGGAGGAUGCAAGCGUUAUCCGGAAUGAUUGGGCGUAAAGCGUCCGCAGGUGGCUAUGUAAGUCUGCUGUUAAAGAGUGAGGCUCAACCUCAUAGAGCAGUGGAAACUACAUGGCUAGAGUGCGUUCGGGGCAGAGGGAAUUCCUGGUGUAGCGGUGAAAUGCGUAGAGAUCAGGAAGAACACCGGUGGCGAAAGCGCUCUGCUAGGCCGCAACUGACACUCAUGGACGAAAGCUAGGGGAGCGAAUGGG